AUUGAACGCUGGCGGAAUGCUUUACACAUGCAAGUCGAACGGCAGCACGGGGGCAACCCUGGUGGCGAGUGGCGAACGGGUGAGUAAUACAUCGGAACGUGCCCAGUCGUGGGGGAUAACGUAGCGAAAGCUACGCUAAUACCGCAUACGAUCUCUGGAUGAAAGCGGGGGACCGCAAGGCCUCGCGCGAUUGGAGCGGCCGAUGGCAGAUUAGGUAGUUGGUGGGGUAAAGGCUCACCAAGCCGACGAUCUGUAGCUGGUCUGAGAGGACGACCAGCCACACUGGGACUGAGACACGGCCCAGACUCCUACGGGAGGCAGCAGUGGGGAAUUUUGGACAAUGGGCGCAAGCCUGAUCCAGCCAUUCCGCGUGCAGGAUGAAGGCCCUCGGGUUGUAAACUGCUUUUGUACGGAACGAAACGGUGCUCUCUAAUACAGGGCGCUAAUGACGGUACCGUAAGAAUAAGCACCGGCUAACUACGUGCCAGCAGCCGCGGUAA
rnacentral:rRNA from 1 species